ensembl:lncRNA novel transcript
CACGCAAUAAACAGUUAUAAAAGGUAAUUGUUGAGAUCAGGGGAAGAUGGCAGAUAGGAGGCAGUGCUAAUGUGUAGCUCCCACAUGGAUGGACAAAACACCAUGUGGAGACUCACACUGUGACCCUGUUGUGCUCCAAGAACUAUCAUAGGAACAUACUGGGAAAACCAAAAGAAUUCACGGAUCCUUUGAAAGAAGACGCACACCACUGUAAAUUCUGUGGAACAGGAGAAAAACUGUCUUGGAGGAAGGCAUCCUUCUAUUCUACUGAUCAGAAAGCUGGACAAAGUCCCACUGCCAGGCUACACAGUUGGUGCCAUUUGCGGAGGCCCACCCGCAGCGGUCACGUGAAGGACCGAGCGCCGCGCGCCCAGGCGGGGCCUCCGGCCUGCACGAGGAGGGCAGAGUCCGUUGCGGCUGCCGCCCCGACGCCCGCGCAUCCCCGCUCGCCGCGCCCGCCGCCGCGAUGUCCGGGGCCGGCCUAGCCGCGGUGGUGAGCUGCCUGCGCCCGCAGCCCGGCGAGGAGCCGCAGACCCAUGAGGACCUUCUCCUGGCAGCUGCCUAUGUUUUGGAUGCCCAGUACAACAGAAAUGUUCCAUUUGAAACUCACCUCAGGCCAUCAGACGUUACUAUUUUUAUAACCACUAGACAACGCAGGUUGCCGCAUACUUCUUUA